rnacentral:rRNA from 1 species
CCUACGGGAGGCAGCAGUGAGGAAUAUUGGUCAAUGGACGAGAGUCUGAACCAGCCAAGUAGCGUGAAGGAUGACUGCCCUAUGGGUUGUAAACUUCUUUUAUAUGGGAAUAAAAUGUUCCACGUGUGGGAUUUUGUAUGUACCAUAUGAAUAAGGAUCGGCUAACUCCGUGCCAGCAGCCGCGGUAAUACGGAGGAUCCGAGUGUUAUCCGGAUUUAUUGGGUUUAAAGGGAGCGUAGGUGGAUUGUUAAGUCAGUUGUGAAAGUUUGCGGCUCAACCGCAAAAUUGCAGUUGAAACUGGCAGUCUUGAGUACAGUAGAGGUGGGCGGAAUUCGUGGUGUAGCGGUGAAAUGCUUAGAUAUCACGAAGAACUCCGAUUGCGAAGGCAGUUCACUGGACUGCAACUGACACUGAGGCUCGAAAGUGUGGGUAUCAAACAGGAUUAGAUACCCGAGUAGUC